CCUACGGGACGCAGCAGUGGGGAAUAUUGCACAAUGGGGGGAACCCUGAUGCAGCGACGCCGCGUGGGUGAAGAAGUCAUUCGUGACGUAAAGCCCUAUCAGCAGGGAAGAAAAUGACGGUACCUGACUAAGAAGCCCCGGCUAACUACGUGCCAGCAGCCGCGGUAAUACGUAGGGGGCAAGCGUUAUCCGGAUUUACUGGGUGUAAAGGGAGCGUAGACGGCGGUGCAAGCCAGAUGUGAAAGCCCGGGGCUCAACCCCGGGACGGCAUUUGGAACUGUGCUGCUAGAGUGUCGGAGAGGCAG
rnacentral:rRNA from 1 species